rnacentral:rRNA from 1 species
GACGAACGUGGCCGGCGUGCCUAAUACAUGCAAGUAGAACGCUGAAGGAGGAGCUUGCUCUUCUGGAUGAGUUGCGAACGGGUGAGUAACGCGUAGGUAACCUGCCUGGUAGCGGGGGAUAACUAUUGGAAACGAUAGCUAAUACCGCAUAAUAGCAGUUGUUGCAUGACAUUUGCUUAAAAGGUGCAAUUGCAUCACUACCAGAUGGACCUGCGUUGUAUUAGCUAGUUGGUGGGGUAACGGCUCACCAAGGCGACGAUACAUAGCCGACCUGAGAGGGUGAUCGGCCACACUGGGACUGAGACACGGCCCAGACUCCUACGGGAGGCAGCAGUAGGGAAUCUUCGGCAAUGGACGGAAGUCUGACCGAGCAACGCCGCGUGAGUGAAGAAGGUUUUCGGAUCGUAAAGCUCUGUUGUAAGAGAAGAACGAGUGUGAGAGUGGAAAGUUCACACUGUGACGGUAUCUUACCAGAAAGGGACGGCUAACUACGUGCCAGCAGCCGCGGUAAUACGUAGGUCCCGAGCGUUGUCCGGAUUUAUUGGGCGUAAAGCGAGCGCAGGCGGUUAGAUAAGUCUGAAGUUAAAGGCUGUGGCUUAACCAUAGUACGCUUUGGAAACUGUUUAACUUGAGUGCAAGAGGGGAGAGUGGAAUUCCAUGUGUAGCGGUGAAAUGCGUAGAUAUAUGGAGGAACACCGGUGGCGAAAGCGGCUCUCUGGCUUGUAACUGACGCUGAGGCUCGAAAGCGUGGGGAGCAAACAGG